CCUACGGGAGGCAGCAGUGGGGAAUAUUGGACAAUGGGCGAAAGCCUGAUCCAGCAAUACCGCGUGUGUGAAGAAGGCCUUAGGGUUGUAAAGCACUUUCAAUUGGGAGGAAAACCUACCGGUCAAUACCCGGUAGCUUGACAUUACCUUUAGAAGAAGCACCGGCUAACUCCGUGCCAGCAGCCGCGGUAAUACGGAGGGUGCAAGCGUUAAUCGGAAUUACUGGGCGUAAAGCGUGCGUAGGCGGUUCGUUAAGUCAGAUGUGAAAGCCCCGGGCUCAACCUGGGAACUGCAUUUGAAACUGGCGAACUAGAGUUUAGUAGAGGGGAGUGGAAUUUCAGGUGUAGCGGUGAAAUGCGUAGAUAUCUGAAGGAACACCAGUGGCGAAGGCGACUCCCUGGACUAAACUGACGCUGAGGUACGAAAGCGUGGGUAGCAAACAGGAUUAGAUACCCUGGUAGUCCACGCCGUAAACGAUGUCAACUAGCCGUUGGUCCUCUAUGUAGGUAGUUAGUGGUCGCGAGCUACGACAUUAAGUUAGUACCGCCGUCGGGAGGUACGGCCGCGAACGUUAAACGUACGAAGUAGUAAGUUAGUACGGUUCGUUGUAGACGUUGCCGACGGCGACGACGAGGGAGGAGG
rnacentral:rRNA from 1 species